rnacentral:rRNA from 1 species
UACAGAGGUCCCGAGCGUUGUUCGGAUUCACUGGGCGUAAAGGGUGCGUAGGCGGUCGGGUAAGUCUGAUGUGAAAUCUCACAGCUUAACUGUGAAACUGCAUUGGAUACUAUUCGGCUUGAGAGUUGGAGGGGGGACUGGAAUUCUCGGUGUAGCAGUGAAAUGCGUAGAUAUCGAGAGGAACACCAGUGGCGAAGGCGGGUCUCUGGGCCGGAACUGACGCUGAGGAGCGAAAGCGUGGGGAGCGAACAGG